GGUGAGAUGGCCGAGCGGUCUAAGGCGCCAGACUAAGGCAUAGACUCAAACCUGAGCUGAUUGUGCAAUCUGGUCCGAAAGGGCGUGGGUUCGAAUCCCACUCUCAUCA
rfam:Postia placenta Mad-698-R POSPLscaffold_118_Cont5146, whole genome shotgun sequence.